GUGGUAUCUGAAUUUCCUAACAGAGACGUAAUGAUUUUACGGUUUCUCAAUGUCGCCAUAUAAAGUAUGAAUAUUACUAAUACAAUUUUCCAUGGAUAAGAUUGUAUUAAUACAUUCAUAAAAGUGACAACUGUGAACAGCUUUGUUUUCAGCUUUUAACCGGGCCUGGCGAGCCUCCAGCCUCGUGCAAUUCACUUCCAAAUCCUCAGGCCUUGGAUUUAGGAUUAUAAUGUGAGAAAUAUUCGUAGUUCGCUGUUACUAGCGGCACUGAAACUGUUCGCGGUCACCCACAAGAACGCGCACAACUCCCGCCCAUAUCAACAGAGCACCGGCCGACCACGCAAUCCAAGCAAAAACGGAGCCUCAUAAAUUGUGGACCUGACUGUCAACAAAUGGAGUCUGUAUGAAUUAAUUUGUGACAAGGAGUGUGGUGAGGUACAUUCAUAGCCACUGUUCUAACACCACCACCAUCACAACCAACAACAACAACAACAACAACAACAAUAGUAACUGCUACUACCAUUGUCACAAAUUUCUGCUACAAAGUUUUAUAUAAAAGUUUAUUGUUAUGCUUUAACUAAUUACUAACACAUACUCAAUUAAAGAUGAUAAUGUAAAAAACAA